CGGCAGCUAAUACCGCAUACGCCGUAUUGGGAAAGCUUUAGCGCCCUGGGAUGAGCCCGCGUUAGAUUAGCUAGUUGGUGGGGUAACGGCCUACCAAGGCGACGAUCUAUAGCUGGUCUGAGAGGAUGAUCAGCCACACUGGGACUGAGACACGGCCCAGACUCCUACGGGAGGCAGCAGUGGGGAAUAUUGGACAAUGGGGGCAACCCUGAUCCAGCCAUGCCGCGUGCGUGAAGAAGGCCUUAGGGUUGUAAAGCGCUUUCACUGGUGAAGAUGAUGACGGUAGCCAGAGAAGAAGCCCCGGCUAACUCCGUGCCAGCAGCCGCGGUAAUACGGAGGGGGCAAGCGUUGUUCGGAAUUACUGGGCGUAAAGGGCGCGUAGGCGGAAUAUCAAGUUAGGGGUGAAAGGCCUGGGCUCAACCUAGGAACUGCCUUUAAAACUGAUAAUCUAGAGUCCGGAAGAGGAUGGCGGAAUUCCCAGUGUAGAGGUGAAAUUCGUAGAUAUUGGGAAGAACAACCGGUGGCGAAGGCGGCCAUCUGGUCCGGUAC
rnacentral:rRNA from 1 species